UACGUAGGAUGCAAGCGUUAUCCGGAGUUACUGGGCGUAAAGGGCGUGUAGGCGGACCUAUAAGUCUAUUCUGAAAGCUCCUGGCUAAACUGGGAGAGGCGAAUGGAGACUGUAGAUCUAGAGUGAGGAAGAGGAAAGUGGAAUUCCGCGUGUAGUGGUGAAAUGCGUAGAGAUGCGGAGGAACACCAGUGGCGAAAGCGACUUUCUGGUCCUUAACUGACGCUGAGGCGCGAAAGCAUGGGGAGCGAACGGG
rnacentral:rRNA from 1 species